AUUGGAUAUCGUGAUGGCCUGAUAGCGGGGAAAGAAGCUUCUGCACAAGAAGGUUUUAAUAUUGGCUUUAAGCAAUCAGUUUUUGCCGGGUGCAACUGGGGCCUUGCUAGAGGUGUUACCAGGUGAGAUUGAAAAGUGGAGGAAAUUUCUUAUUAGUUGUUGAUGUCUAGAUUGCUUAUGUUUUUGAUGCACGGCAUUGCUCUAAAUCUUGGUUUCAAAUUUUGUGUGAAAGUGCGCUCGCUUGUCUUCCGGAUACGUUGAGGGAGAAGUUGAUUGAAACACAAGAAACGAGAGAUAAAUUCCAGGGGUUAUGUGAUUCCGUGAAUUCUCUGUCGACUAUAGAUGCACUUAAGUUGUUUCAUGAUGAUAUUAUGUCAAAG
rnacentral:lncRNA from 1 species